rnacentral:lncRNA from 1 species
UGUUAAAGGGUGCUGUGAUUCCCUCAUACUGAUUGUAUUCUUGUCAUGGGAUAAAAUGAAAGCUGUCCAUCAGAUAUUAUGAAAUGGAGUUUAGCACAUGGGACAGGACACUCUUACCUACAUCCGUGGACAUCUAGACACAUGCUCUAUUCUGAGAUUCUUAAGGGAAACUCUGAGUUGGAAGAACAAAGUAGACUGAAGAGGAUGAUGAUUGAGAAUCACCCUAGCCUGAACCCCAUCCAUACUUGCAGUAGGGUUGCAAAGCAUGAUUGGCACAUCCUCAAGACAGAGAAUCUUCAGAGCUGGCAGGGGAAGGUUCCAAAAUUGUUGGAGAGAAAGUUUGCCCCAACUGGGUUUUGAGCUGACAGGGAAACCUGAUGGUGGCAGAUCUUAUCUCUCUCAUGGACUCCAUUGGACCUUGGACAAGCAGACCUUCAGGACACAUCCCAUCUACAAAGCAUUGAGCAAAGCCCACUUGACCUUCAGCUGUCCGAGACAUCCUGAAGGCCCUGGAAGGAGGAGAACAUUAGUAUCUUCAAUCAGCAACAGUGUCUGGGGUUAUCAGGACCCAUCUGGGUCAGCCAGACAAACACCGCGUUGAGUGAAGGAGCUUUAGAGGAGUUUAAGCCCCUCCUUGUCCUGAGAUCAGGGCAGGAUUUGGAAAGUGAUCCUUCUGUACUUUUAGUUUUUAAAAAUAGCCAGUGUUUUGUGCUUAUCGGGGCAAACUAAAAAAUAAUAAUGAUAAUAAUUCUUAAUUAGAAAAAGUUUAAGUAAAUUUAAAAAAUAAAAUUUUGCUCAUUGCUGAAAAUCGGCUACUA